AGUGCUGUAGGCAAAUGGUUUAAGCCGCUUGGUUUUCAUCCAAGUGAUCUGCGGGUUCAACUCCCGUCAGCACUU
rnacentral:tRNA from 2 species